CUCCUUCACCUUCCACCAUGAUUGUGAGGCCUCCCCAGCCACGUGGAACUGGGCCUGAAGUUAUGGGGCGUGUAUACAGUGAGGGACCGCACCGCCCGCCGGCAGCUUUCAUCUGUCAACUCCUAGUGAGAAGAACACUCACCCACCAAAAAAAGGAAAAAUUGAAAAUGGUUCUGAUUUCGAGGGGUACUUGGAGACUGGCCCCGGGCUGGGCCCCUGUCUGGAGCGCCGAGGCCUGCCUGUCGGCCUGGGAUGACUGCAGAGGCUGCUGUCAAGGAAGUUGUGCUCCGUGGCCAGGACAAGCCAGCCGACCUAGGGGCCCAAGAGACCAAGAUGAGCUCUCCAGCCCCACAGCCCGGCCCUGAGCCUCCUCUGCUGAAGCCAGCCCGUGCGCUGACAGCGGUAUGGGGCCUGCAUGAUUGGCGCAGGAAUAAGCAAAGAGACCCUGGACCCAAGGGCGGGUCCAGAAAGCGGCCCCUCCCCCACGCCAAUUUAUAACAAAGGCCCCUGCAGAGCAGGGGGAAGAGGUGGCCUUUCCCUGCCACGUGUCCAGUAUCAGUUGGACACUGACAGAAGAAAGUGACCCCAUCCCCACAAUUAAUUUAAAAUGAGUCACAGAGCAGGCUGGGCACAGUGGCUCACACCUGUAAUCCCAGCACUUUGG
rnacentral:lncRNA from 1 species